UACAGAGGGUGCGAGCGUUGUUCGGAAUUACUGGGCGUAAAGCGCGCGCAGGCGGCCUUUUAAGUCUGACGGUGAAAUGCCGGGGCUCAACCCCGUGCCCGCCGGAGAUACUGGGAGGCUGGAGACGAGUAGAGGCAAGCGGAAUUCCGGGUGUAGCGGUGGAAUGCGUAGAGAUCCGGAAGAACACCGGAGGCGAAGGCGGUUCUCUGGGCAGUAACUGACGCUGAGGAGCGAAAGCGUGGGGAGCGAACAGG
rnacentral:rRNA from 1 species